rnacentral:lncRNA from 1 species
CUUGAAAAAUCAAAACCCCAUUCUUUGAAACUAGUUUUCAAUAUAUUUUUUAAACAGAUUCUUAGCACUUUACUUUUUAAGUGGUAUAAUUAAAUAACUUCAUAAAUCAUAACUUAGUAUCUUCAGGUUCUUCCCUUUUUUAGGUAGUCUUUUAAAAUUGAUGAUAGCUUCUAACACUUAUAUCCAGCAGAAACUGAUGAAUGCUUAUUUAUUUACAGGUAAAAGUUGAUAGACAUCAUAGUCCUCUAUUCUGCUACUUUUAAAUCUCUGUUCUGUUUCUUUUACAUAUAUAUAGAUCUAAGGAGAUUUGCCAGCAGUUUUUCAUUUAUGCCCCCAAAGUCACAUUUGAUCAUCUAUCACCUUAAAGGCAUAUCAAGAUCUAAAUAGUUUCUUUGAUUUUCUUCCUAGUUUCUUGUUCUUAACUACUUAGAUUGUGGAUCAAGUUAAGUUUCUUGUAUGAAGCAGAUUUUAUUCCAGCGACUUAGUUAAUGAAACAUUUUUUUAAGAUUUAUUCAUUGCCUUGGCUUAUUACUAAAGUGCUUAGCAUGACUAAACAGAUCUAUACAAAUGCAUCUUUGAAUUUUUUAGUGAAUAGAAGAAACUAAUUGUAACUCUUUGGAGUCAGCUUGGUAUUUAGUGAAAACUAUACUGUCAGGAAGUCAGAUACUUUCCUCUGCCUUUUCAGUCUUUUUAAUCAAGCUGCAGACUUAAUCCAGUAGUAUCAAAUUACAAACAGCUGUAAAGAAAUUCUUAUUCAAGUACAGAUGAGUAAAUGGCAUGAUUUGAGUUUAUUAUUUUUUGGUGGCAGAAUAUUAACUCUAUAUUCUGCAGAGACUCAUAUUCUUAGUUAAGGGAAACUUUCAAGAUGCUUGAAAUAAGAAAGAACAUGCUAGUAUAAAUACAGGAAGUGACUGUACACAAAUGCCAAUCAGUGAUUUGGGGCCUUUUAAUUUUUUUUAAUAGUCUUUUGUUUUUUUAAUAGUCUUAGUUAUUAAAAAUUCAGAUGCACUAAUAUGCCAUUGCUGUCACUAACUUUGCUGUUUACAGAUUAUAUGUAAUUCAUAAUGCUUUGUGCUCAGAAGAAUAAUUUCCAGAUUUAAUCUUGUUGUUUUGAAAUUUGCCCCACCAUUUAUAGCACCCAAUUUUUGGUUGCAUAAUGAAUGGUAAAAUUCAAACAUAUCUAAUAGUUUAAUAAUUUGCCUUAUUUCGAUUAACAAAUUCUAUCAAAGAUUUGGGGAUAGAAAGAGGCUUUUUUUUUUUUCCUACAGUAUUUUUUAAACUUUUCAGAUGAGCUGGAAAACACUUUAGUACAUUGGAGUUGGAGUUGUAUUGGUUACAGUCCCAGCUCUAUAGCCUUAUACUCAUGUCUUAAGUAUCACUGAUUGUUCUAUGAAUUGUUAGUUUGGCAUUUGACAUUGUAGUUAUCCACCUUGCAGUUUAGCCUUUGCAAAAAGGAUAUUGCUAGGUGUGUUCUUAUUUCUGGUUGACUAUUGAAUUUGUAAUUUCACAAUUUCAUUCUGAGUCAUUGUAAUCCAAAAAGGAAAACCAUGUAGGACUAAAUUUUUCACCUCACAGUGAACACUGAAUCAGUGCAGUUUUAGCAACUUCGUACAAAAAUGCAUCCGAGCAAUGUCGCACCUGUUUGCCAGUCGUUGACUCUGUUAGAUUCGUGAGUUUUCUCACUGUUUCUCUGAGGUAGAUGACUUGUUAGAGAGCCUCAGAAAGAAAUUUUCACCAAACUCACAAAAACAUGAAGUCCAAGAAAUCACCAGAAGACAGAUUUUUAAUUUUUUGAAAUCUUAUAUUGUAUUUCCUUUUGAUGUCACUUAUUCAUUUUAAUUUUAUGACUGCCAACUUGUUAUGGUAUUAAU